GUGUAUCCUUAAUAUAAAACAUUCAGAUCUUCAAAAAAUACAAACUUUAUAUUAUUGAAAACGUUAUUUACAUCCUGUCAAUAUUUAAUCUAUGUUGUUUUUAUGUUCAUUGGUGGUGCUUGUAGGGCAAUUGGAAAAUAAUUUUCCAAUUAUUGCCUUCAUCAUGAUCAAACUGCACUUCCACAAACUGAUUUAAAGUCUCCUUUGGUCAAGAUUUUGGUACAAAACACUUAAUUAUUAAGUUAUUAUGGUUAUUUAGUACAUUGAUGAAGUUGAUAACAUCUCACACAGUCCCUUAACACAUAAAGUAUGCUUGUUCACAUCAAUAGUACAUACCUGCAGAGGACAAUGCUGUGGACCCUGACUGUAGUCGCCAUGGAUACACUCUGCACACUGAGCUUCACAAUCCAGUUUAGCCAAUCAUGUGUCAGCCUUUCCCCCCACUGUACACCAGGAGAGUGAUGUCACAAGGGGUAUUUGUGCAGUUAAUCACCAUUGAUUUCGCAAAUGUAUCCGAGCACAUGCCUGUGGCGAAGAUCAGUCUUCCAUGGGAAGCAGAGGGAUUGCAGGGAGAUGUUGAGGGUUGCUGCAUGAUGACUCUGACGGUGCUGGAUGAGGCUCAGCAUCCCUUCUGAUGUGUGAGUUCUACUGUAAAAAUGUACAGUAGACAAAUAGUGCUGGACUGGGAGUUUGAAGGGGAGCAGUUCAUCAUCCUUUAUGAGGAUGCAGA